rnacentral:rRNA from 1 species
AUUGAACGCUGGCGGCAUGCUUUACACAUGCAAGUCGAACGGUAACAGGGUGCUUGCACCGCUGACGAGUGGCGAACGGGUGAGUAAUGCGUCGGAACGUGCCGAGUAGUGGGGGAUAACGCAGCGAAAGUUGUGCUAAUACCGCAUACGUACUGAGGUAGAAAGUGGGGGACCUUCGGGCCUCACGCUAUUCGAGCGGCCGACGUCUGAUUAGCUAGUAGGUGAGGUAAAGGCUCACCUAGGCGACGAUCAGUGGCGGGUCUGAGAGGAUGAUCCGCCACACUGGGACUGAGGCACGGCCCAGACUCCUACGGGAGGCAGCAGUGGGGAAUUUUGGACAAUGGGCGAAAGCCUGAUCCAGCCAUGCCGCGUGUCUGAAGAAGGCCUUCGGGUUGUAAAGGACUUUUGUCAGGGAGGAAAUCCCUAGUGCUAAUAACACUGGGGGAUGACAGUACCUGAAGAAUAAGCACCGGCUAACUACGUGCCAGCCGCCGCGGUAA